AAGAGGAGCUGGUAUCAGGCACAACACGCUUAGCCCAUGACACCUUGCUUAGCCACACCCCCACGGGUACUCAGCAGUAAUAAAUAUUAAGCCAUAAGUGAAAACUUGACUUAGUUAGCAUCAAGAGGGCCGGUUAAACUCGUGCCAGCCACCGCGGUUAUACGAGAGGCCCAAGUUGACAAACACCGGCGUAAAGAGUGGUUAAUAAAAAUUAAACUAAAGCCGAACACCUUCAAGGCCGUCAUACGUACCCGAAGGCAGGAAGACCCCCGACGAAAGUGGCUUUAAUCCAUUAUGAACCCACGAAAGCUAGGGUACAAACUGGGAUUAGAUACCCCACUAUGCCUAGCCCUAAACAAAAAUUACCCCUCACACCAACAUUCGCCAGGGAACAACGAGCCCCAGCUUAAAACCCAAAGGACUUGGCGGUGCUUUAGACCCCCCUAGAGGAGCCUGUUCUAGAACCGAUACUCCCCGUUCAACCUCACCCUUUCUUGUUAUUUCC
rnacentral:rRNA from 1 species